GGCGGACGGGUGAGUAAUGCCUAGGAAUCUGCCUGAUAGUGGGGGACAACGUUUCGAAAGGAACGCUAAUACCGCAUACGUCCUACGGGAGAAAGCAGGGGACCUUCGGGCCUUGCGCUAUCAGAUGAGCCUAGGUCGGAUUAGCUAGUUGGUGAGGUAACGGCUCACCAAGGCGACGAUCCGUAACUGGUCUGAGAGGAUGAUCAGUCACACUGGAACUGAGACACGGUCCAGACUCCUACGGGAGGCAGCAGUGGGGAAUAUUGGACAAUGGGCGAAAGCCUGAUCCAGCCAUGCCGCGUGUGUGAAGAAGGUCUUCGGAUUGUAAAGCACUUUAAGUUGGGAGGAAGGGCAUUAACCUAAUACGUUAGUGUUUUGACGUUACCGACAGAAUAAGCACCGGCUAACUUCGUGCCAGCAGCCGCGGUAAUACGAAGGGUGCAAGCGUUAAUCGGAAUUACUGGGCGUAAAGCGCGCGUAGGUGGUUUGUUAAGUUGA
rnacentral:rRNA from 1 species